rnacentral:rRNA from 1 species
UCCUACGGGAGGCAGCAGUGGGGAAUAUUGCACAAUGGGGGAAACCCUGAUGCAGCCAUGCCGCGUGUGUGAAGAAGGCCUUCGGGUUGUAAAGCACUUUCAGUUGUGAGGAAAAGUUAGUAGUUAAUACCUGCUAGCCGUGACGUUAACAACAGAAGAAGCACCGGCUAACUCCGUGCCAGCAGCCGCGGUAAUACGGAGGGUGCGAGCGUUAAUCGGAAUUACUGGGCGUAAAGCGCACGCAGGCGGUUUGUUAAGCUAGAUGUGAAAGCCCCGGGCUCAACCUGGGAUGGUCAUUUAGAACUGGCAGACUAGAGUCUUGGAGAGGGGAGUGGAAUUCCAGGUGUAGCGGUGAAAUGCGUAGAUAUCUGGAGGAACAUCAGUGGCGAAGGCGACUCCCUGGCCAAAGACUGACGCUCAUGUGCGAAAGUGUGGGUAGCGAACAGGAUUAGAUACCCUGGUAGUCCACGCCGUAAACGCUGUCUACUAGCUGUGUGUGCCUUUAAGGCGUGCGUAGCGAAGCUAACGCGCUAAGUAGACCGCCUGGGGAGUACGGCCGCAAGGUUAAAACUCAAAUGAAUUGACGG